rnacentral:rRNA from 1 species
UGUUUCGGCUAGGGGGCCAUCCCGGCUUACCAACCCGAUGCAAACUGCGAAUACCGGAGAAUGUUAUCACGGGAGACACACGGCGGGUGCUAACGUCCGUCGUGAAGAGGGAAACAACCCAGACCGCCAGCUAAGGUCCCAAAGUCAUGGUUAAGUGGGAAACGAUGUGGGAAGGCCCAGACAGCCAGGAUGUUGGCUUAGAAGCAGCCAUCAUUUAAAGAAAGCGUAAUAGCUCACUGGUCGAGUCGGCCUGCGCGGAAGAUGUAACGGGGCUAAACCAUGCACCGAAGCUGCGGCAGCGACACUAUGUGUUGUUGGGUAGGGGAGCGUUCUGUAAGCCUGCGAAGG